CUACGGGUCGCUGCAGUGGGGAAUAUUGGACAGUGGGGGAAACCCUGAUCCAGCAAUGCCGCGUGUGUGAAGAAGGCCUGCGGGUUGUAAAGCACUUUCGGUUGGGAGGACUGCUUCUAGCACUAAUAUUGUUGGAAGUUGACGUUACCUUCAGAAGAAGCACCGGCUAACUCCGUGCCAGCAGCCGCGGUAAUACGGAGGGUGCACGCGUUAAUCGGAAUUACUGGGCGUAAAGCGCGCGUAGGCGGCUAGAUCAGUCGGGUGUGAAAGCCCCGGGCUUAACCUGGGAACUGCAUCCGAUACUGUCUAGCUUGAGUACAGGAGAGGAGAGUGGAAUUCCACAUGUAGCGGUGAAAUGCGUAGAUAUGUGGAGGAACACCAAUGGCGAAGGCAGCUCUCUGGCCUGAUACUGACGCUGAGGUGCGAAAGCGUGGGGAGCAAACAGGAUUAGAUACCCCGGUAGUC
rnacentral:rRNA from 1 species